UACGUAUCGUCCAAACGUUAUUCGGAAUUACUGGGCUUAAAGGGUACGUAGGCGGCGCUGUCAGUCGGGUGUGAAAUACCCUCGGCUCAACCCGAGGAAUUGCGCCCGAUACUGCAGUGCUUGAGGGAGACAGAGGUAAGCGGAACUGAUGGUGGAGCGGUGAAAUGCGUUGAUAUCAUCAGGACACCAGUGGCGAAAAGCGGCUUACUGGGUCUCUUCUGACGC
rnacentral:rRNA from 1 species